UGCAGUUUAUUCCCAAGACUGAUACUGUCAUGGGUCUCCAGUAGGGCAAAGCUUCCAAGUGACAUCUGUAACUUGGAGAAGUAGCAUCAAAAAGAAUAGGAUGAAGCUUAGCAGGGAGAGGUACAAAAUGCUGCACUAUGGGCAUAACAGCCAUUGACUCGAGUGACUUUUACUGAAUUUAAUUUGUUGACAAUUAACACCAUGUUCUGGACAGUAAUUUGGAUAUUAGCUUAAAAAAACCCACACCUUUCUUCCAGGCUCAAUGCCAACAACUACGCUGUGCCUUAAGAAACCCAUGCUGUUUACUGCCCCCCUCAGGGAGGAAGGGAGCACCUGCGCCCGGCGCCGCCAUGUUAGGCUCUUCCUGGGGGCGGUGCCACCAUGUCAUGCUCCUCCUUGCUGCUGCCCGGCUGCCUUUGGGAGGUGGCUGCACAGGCCUUUGGAGUGCCCAGUGGCUAUUGCUGCGCCCAGCAGCGGCCCGGAGCUGUUCUGCGGCCGUUUAUCUGCCACGAGGUGCACGGGCUCUGCUGCCACUGCUGGUCCCGCAAACCCCGCAGGUCGUGUUCGUGGCGUUACGUGCCAGGGAGGAAGCACAGGCUGGCUUAGGACCAUAUUGUUUUUCCACGCUGCUGAGGACUUCUGAGAUAGAAAACCAUCUGCAAGUUUGCUUACAGAUCAACCCCUUGUGAAGCCCAGGCAACUUUUGAAAAUAUUACUUAGUGCCUUUGGUGUCAAGAGGUGUAGGUCGAUACACUUUGUGGUGAUAGAAAUGAUCAUCAGACAGCUGAGGAGUAAGAAAUCCCGUCUGUGUUUUUAAUAACAUUCUGGAACAAGUUCAGUGGUGAUCUUAAGAUCCAUAUGGAUCUUAUUAUAGUCCUUCUUGCUAUGGGACUCUCUGGGAAUUGAGGUUUGUGCCCAGUGCGCCGCGCCAAUAAGCACACAGAGUUGGAAUCCACACAAAGGUCUUCUUCAAGGCUUCACCUUCAAGGCUUCUUCUUCAGUGGCUGUUCAUCUCUUUCCUGCAUUAACCAGCCUGUACACCAGUCUGAUGGUGGUACCUUGGUAGGUCUGGCCUUUCAUCAGUCUUGUUACUGGUACCUGCAUGCCGCAACCAAUUCUUUGUUCUUUUACUUCGUCUGAAUUGAUAGUCAGUGUCCUGGAAUGAAUAAAAAACAGAAGGGAGAGAAGCUUUUUUUCUUUGCUCAAUGUUUAACUUGCAGUAAGAGUUGCAGUAACACCACAACAUGGAAAAAUAGAUAGUAUGUUGUAAACUGUUAAAUAUCGAUUGUCUUUGUUUAGAGGAUAUUUUAGUGACGAUUCUUUUUUAUCUAUUCUGAAUUGAGUAAAUUCAUAAUCUCUACUAAAUGAAUAGUUUUUAAGAGAGUUGUUAAUAGAUGCACAAGAUGGCUUGACAUUGCAAAGG